rnacentral:rRNA from 1 species
GAUGAACGCUAGCGGCAGGCUUAAUACAUGCAAGUCGUGGGGCAGCAUGAGUGUAGCAAUACAUUUGAUGGCGACCGGCAAACGGGUGCGGAACACGUACACAACCUUCCUAUAAGUGGGGAAUAGCCCAGAGAAAUUUGGAUUAAUACCCCGUAACAUAACGAUGUGGCAUCACAUUGUUAUUAUAGCUUCGGCGCUCAUUGAUGGGUGUGCGGCUGAUUAGAUAGUUGGCGGGUUAACGGCCCACCAAGUCUACGAUCAGUAGCUGAUGUGAGAGCAUGAUCAGCCACCCGGGCACUGAGACACGGGCCCGACUCCUACGGGAGGCAGCAGUAAGGAAUAUUGGUCAAUGGACGCAAGUCUGAACCAGCCAUGCCGCGUGAAGGAUUAAGGUCCUCUGGAUUGUAAACUUCUUUUAUCUGGGACGAAAAAAGGCUUUUCUAAGUCACUUGACGGUACCAGAUGAAUAAGCACCGGCUAACUCCGUGCCAGCAGCCGCCGUAACAC